rnacentral:lncRNA from 1 species
UGGAGACUGUUAUGGAUCCAGGGCCAUCUAGACAUCUAGCUAGAACUGGGAUGACCAGGACAUUUGGGCGUGAAAGGGGCCCUACAAGCCUUAACAGAUACUAAAGAACGUCAGACAAGCAGAAUGAGGAUGGCCCCAGGCAAGGUGGACCCCGCCCCAGCUGCAGGGAACAGCAAGGCUGCAGGUAGGUACCUGCCCAUUUCCAGCUCCCAGCCUCCCUCAGAACACAGACUGCCUUGCCAUUUUCUUAGCGAGCGGUUUGCAGCAAAGUGCUAUUUUGCUCUCAAACGCCUUCCUUUCCAAUUGGGACAAACGGCUAUGAAUACGGCACACCCUGUUUUGCAUUCAAAUUGUUGUGAAAGUUUUGCGGCUGUAAAUAACAUGCUCUUGGUGCUCAAGACAGAAUUAUUAUUACUUUUUCCUUAGUUCUUGGAACCAGUGAUAAAUUAAACAUUUCUUUUG